UGUGUGUUAGUGGAAGCGUCUGGAAAGGCGCGCGAUACAGGGUGACAGCCCCGUACACAAAAAUGCACAUGCUGUGAGCUCGAUGAGUAGGGCGGGACACGUGGUAUCCUGUCUGAAUAUGGGGGGACCAUCCUCCAAGGCUAAAUACUCCUGACUGACCGAUAGUGAACCAGUACCGUGAGGGAAAGGCGAAAAGAACCCCGGCGAGGGGAGUGAAAAAGAACCUGAAACCGUGUACGUACAAGCAGUGGGAGCACGCUUAGGCGUGUGACUGCGUACCUUUUGUAUAAUGGGUCAGCGACUUAUAUUCUGUAGCAAGGUUAACCGAAUAGGGGAGCCGAAGGGAAACCGAGUCUUAACUGGGCGUUAAGUUGCAGGGUAUAGACCCGAAACCCGGUGAUCUAGCCAUGGGCAGGUUGAAGGUUGGGUAACACUAACUGGAGGACCGAACCGACUAAUGUUGAAAAAUUAGCGGAUGACUUGUGGCUGGGGGUGAAAGGCCAAUCAAACCGGGAGAUAGCUGGUUCUCCCCGAAAGCUAUUUAGGUAGCGCCUCGUGAAUUCAUCUCCGGGGGUAGAGCACUGUUUCGGCAAGGGGGUCAUCCCGACUUACCAACCCGAUGCAAACUGCGAAUACCGGAGAAUGUUAUCACGGGAGACACACGGCGGGUGCUAACGUCCGUCGUGAAGAGGGAAACAACCCAGACCGCCAGCUAAGGUCCCAAAGUCAUGGUUAAGUGGGAAACGAUGUGGGAAGGCCCAGACAGCCAGGAUGUUGGCUUAGAAGCAGCCAUCAUUUAAAGAAAGCGUAAUAGCUCACUGGUCGAGUCGGCCUGCGCGGAAGAUGUAACGGGGCUAAACCAUGCACCGAAGCUGCGGCAGCGACGCUGAUGCGUUGUUGGGUAGGGGAGCGUUCUGUAAGCCUGUGAAGGUG
rnacentral:rRNA from 1 species